GAUGAACGCUAGCUACAGGCUUAACACAUGCAAGUCGAGGGGAAACGACAUCGAAAGCUUGCUUUUGAUGGGCGUCGACCGGCGCACGGGUGAGUAACGCGUAUCCAACCUGCCCAUCACUUGGGAAUAACCUUGCGAAAGUAAGACUAAUACCCAAUGAUAUCCCACGAAGGCAUCGGAAUGGGAUUAAAGAUUUAUCGGUGAUGGAUGGGGAUGCGUCUGAUUAGCUUGUUGGCGGGGUAACGGCCCACCAAGGCAACGAUCAGUAGGGGUUCUGAGAGGAAGGCCCCCAAAGUGGGAACUGAGACAGGGCCCAAACUCCUACGGGAGGAAGCAGGGAGGAAUAUGGUACAGGGGGAGAGAGCCUAAACCAGCAAAUUGGGGUGAAGGAAGGCGCCCCUAUGGUUGGUAAACUGUUUUUAAAAGGAAAUAAGGUGGGUCACGUGUGAUUUUUUGAAGGAACUUUAUAAAAAGGGCCGGGCUAGUCCCGUC
rnacentral:rRNA from 1 species